rnacentral:siRNA from 1 species
AUCAUAAGAGUUAGAGAUGG